UAGACCAAGACAGCGGAGCGCUCACGACUCACGUGCGCGGACAAGUAUGGUCGUCAAGAGAAGUGUUAGCUCCUGACCAACAUCAGUCCGACGUCCAUUAUCACACCGACCAUGAAGAAGCACCACAGUCCCACCAAGCGGCAGAAAGACGCGCCAGCGGCGGCGUGUGUGGGCGGCGAGGUGAGCGUCCAGCAACUCAACGAGCUGCUGUCCAACGGCAGCGGCUUCUACAGCCUCCCCACGCAGCACUUCAACCACGUCUUCCCCAACAUCUACAUCGGCAACGCGUUCGUGGCCCAGAAUGCAAUGCGUCUGCAGAAACUGGGCGUGACCCACGUGCUCAACACGGCCGAGGGCACCUCCUUCAUGCACGUCAACACCAGCGCCGACUUCUACGCCGGCACGGGCAUCACCUACCACGGCAUCAAGGCCAACGACACGGAGCACUUUGACCUCAGUGCCUUCUUUGAGGAGGGGGCCGACUUCAUCGACAAGGCGCUCGCACACAACAACGGCAAAGGCAAGGUGUACGUCCACUGCAGAGAAGGCUACAGCCGCUCGCCCACCAUGGUGGUGGCUUACCUCAUGCUGCGCCACAAGAUGGACGCCCGGCAAGCGGUGGCCACCGUGCGACUGAAGCGGGAGAUCGGCCCCAACGACGGCUUCCUCCGCCUGCUGUGCCAACUCAACCAGAAGCUGGCCAAGGAGGGCCGGCUGGACGGCGAGGUGGGCAAACUAAAGACCAAAUGAAAAGCUCCCAUCGUGUCCGCAGACCAGCACCCCGGCUUUUCUCAUCGCACGCCCUCUGAUGCCAUCAGUCCUCCCACGGAGCCAAACUACUUCUAGCAUUCCGUCUAGUUGACAAGUUCACUUUCCCAACUGAAAAGACGACAGCACAAUCAUUCCCAGAGAUUCCACUGCCGCCACGCCACCACAGUCAGCUCCACGCCACAAGUCCAAAUCUACUUUUGUUGGCUCGCUCGCACACUUCAGGAGAUCCACAAGGUCAACUUUACACAUCUCCAGUACAGGGACGAUAGGGAAAGUUUGAUGAUUGGUGACGCGCUUUCUUUUUGGCGCCGUUGGACGAGGCGCCUCGUCUUAAUUGUAGGCGCUGGUUCCCAGCAGGGAGGAUUGAGAACGCUUCACAUUUUCAAGUUAAGUCGUAAGUUUGUUCAUUUGACUCCCAAAUAACUUCUUUUUGGAGUACAAAUGUGACGUCCCCUGUGGCCUAAUUUGGACUCCAAGACUGCUUUGUUUGACAAGUGAUACUCCACACUCAUCUGGCUCACCUUUUUUUUCCCUCCACCCGAGACUUUUCCCUCAAAGCACCAACAACAUGGCCUUGGAGGCAGACGCCAUCUUGUCCCACUGGUUUUCUAAGAGUCCACUGCCUGUCUUUGUGCUCCUGGACUGACCACCACGCUGCAUAUUUGACCACACGGCAGCCCACCACAAGCCUUACAAGGUGUGUUGUUCGCUUUUGUCUGUUUCACCUCACCACAGGAAGGCAAGGCUUUGUUGAAGUGCACUUGAUUUAACACUGCAAUCUUCUUUUUCUUAUAUUGGACUUUCAACUUUCUUCAAAAUAAACGGCUGAG